UCUAACCUAAGAGAUAAACAAGAAUUAAAACAUUUGAAUCUCAUCUACUAUUUUUUCUCUUGUCCAUAUUUGGGUGGCACAUGUGAGGUCAACAUACCUCUCACCUCACCAUUCCUCACAGAAUGUGAUAUUCAGGAAGAUCCCAAGGGUCUUGGCCCUGGACAAAUGCUUAAAGAAAUUAUUCUAGGUGCUUCAAGAGGAAAUGAAGAGAGGAAGACAUGUUUUUGCCUGGACCAGACUCUAUAAUCAGAACAGAUAAUGCUAGAACUGGUUAGGAUGGUGAUAUCAGGAACCCAAAGAGAAGCUAAGCUCACAUCUCUUCAUUAUGGAUUGAAGUGUGUCCCUCCAAAGGGAACCUCCUGCAACAGGCCCAGAAGAAUCAUUCAAAAAUGAGGAAGAAUAUUCACCUCCCUCUGCUUUCUGCCUGUGGACUCAGUGUGACCAGACACCUCACACUCCUGCCUCCAUGGUCUGAUAUACUAUAUCCCCACAAACUUGCUUAACAGAAGACAGCUGGAGCAAGGCUAGACUCCAUCUUCAACCACCACAUUCUCAAGUCUCUGGUAAAUUCCACCAUACACUUUGAGAAGGAGAGGAGAAGGCAUACAGCAUUGUCCAUGGACUACCCGAGAAAGGGGCCACCAUGUAUCUUCUCCAUGCCACAUUUGGAGGACAAUUGUUCUUAGUCAUAAAGCAGAGGUCAAAAUCAGAAAUGACAUCAUUAUCAUAAAUUUUGCAGCAAUGGAAGAAUUAAAUAGCCUGAUUUGAUUGUGGCACAGUGUAUGCAUGUAUUAAAAUGUCACACUACACUCUAUAAACAUGUGUAAGUAUCGUGUGCUAAUUAAAAAAUAAGGAGCCAGUGAGAUGGCUCAGCAGAUAAGAGUACUUGCUGCUAAGCUUGCUAACCUGAGUUCAGUCCUUGGAACCCACAUGCUAUAAGGAGAAGAACCCCUCUUGAAGGCUGUCCUGUCUUCUACAUGGGCACUAUGGCACGUGCACAUGCAAACAUACACACACACAGAAAAUAAAAUAAGAAUAAUUAUUGUUAGU